rnacentral:rRNA from 1 species
UACGUAGGGGGCAAGCGUUGUCCGGAUUUAUUGGGCGUAAAGAGCGUGUAGGCGGUUUGGUAGGUCCGCUGUGAAAACUCGAGGCUCAACCUCGAGACGCCGGUGGAAACCAUCAGGCUAGAGUCCGGAAGAGGAGAGUGGAAUUCCUGGUGUAGCGGUGAAAUACGCAGAUAUCAGGAAGAACACCCGUGGCUAAGGCGGCUCUCUAGUACGGUACUGACGCUGAGACGCGAAAGCGUGGGGAGCGAACAGG